AUUGAACGCUGGCGGCAGGCUUAACACAUGCAAGUCGAGCGGAGAUGAGGUGCUUGCACCUUAUCUUAGCGGCGGACGGGUGAGUAAUGCUUAGGAAUCUGCCUAUUAGUGGGGGACAACAUUCCGAAAGGAAUGCUAAUACCGCAUACGUCCUACGGGAGAAAGCAGGGGAUCUUCGGACCUUGCGCUAAUAGAUGAGCCUACGUCGGAUUAGCUAGUUGGUGGGUUAAAGGCCUACCAAGGCGACGAUCUGUAGCGGGUCUGAGAGGAUGAUCCGCAACACUGGGACUGAGACACGGCCCAGACUCCUACGGGAGGCAGCAGUGGGGGAUAUUGGACAAUGGGGGGAACCCUGAUCCAGCCAUGCCGCGUGUGUGAAGAAGGCCUUAUGGUUGUAAAGCACUUUAAGCGAGGAGGAGGCUACUGAGACUAAUACUCUUGGAUAGUGGACGUUACUCGCAGAAUAAGCACCGGCUAACUCUGUGCCAGCAGCCGCCGUAAUAC
rnacentral:rRNA from 1 species